UACGGGGGGGGCAAGCGUUGUUCGGAAUUACUGGGCGUAAAGGGUUCGUAGGUGGCCAACUAAGUCAGACGUGAAAUCCCUCAGCUUAACUGGGGAACUGCGUCUGAUACUGGUUGGCUUGAGUGCGGUAGAGGAGAGUGGAAUUCCCGGUGUAGCAGUGAAAUGCGUAGAGAUCGGGAGGAACAUCAGUUGCGAAGGCGGCUCUCUGGACCAGCACUGACACUGAGGCACGAAAGCGUGGGGAGCAAACAGG
rnacentral:rRNA from 1 species